rnacentral:snoRNA from 15 species
UUGUUUUCAAUGAUGAUUUUCGAGUUUUACCUUGGGACACCUAUGAAAUGCCUUGAUUAGUGUAAAGUUAUGUUUUUCUGAUAACA